rnacentral:sRNA from 1 species
AUAGCAGUGAGCAGCCCUGAUGGAAUAGGGGUGAUCGAGAUUUGUUGGCCCGGUACGUAUAGCCGUAAUACAGGAACCACGGGCUUUUUGUCGAAAUGGUCCUCCAUCUCGCCCUGGACAAUAAAAUAAUGGUUAAAAACAGAAGAGCGCUGCAUAUUUCUACCAAUUCUAGAAAAUGCAAUAGAAGCUCGCUCCUGCAGGUUGAGAUAUUUAUGGAUAUAAAACCCCUGCUUCCAUAUCCCAAUCCGGCAAUUAGACGAGCUUUCCUCUAUAUCCGCAUAAACAUUUACAGCAUGCAUAGAAC